GUCGAACGAUGAUGCCCAGCUUGCUGGGUGGAUUAGUGGCGAACGGGUGAGUAACACGUGAGUAACCUGCCCCUGACUCUGGGAUAAGCGUUGGAAACGACGUCUAAUACUGGAUAUGACUACCGGCCGCAUGGUCUGGUGGUGGAAAGAUUUUUUGGUUGGGGAUGGACUCGCGGCCUAUCAGCUUGUUGGUGAGGUAAUGGCUCACCAAGGCGACGACGGGUAGCCGGCCUGAGAGGGUGACCGGCCACACUGGGACUGAGACACGGCCCAGACUCCUACGGGAGGCAGCAGUGGGGAAUAUUGCACAAUGGGCGAAAGCCUGAUGCAGCAACGCCGCGUGAGGGAUGACGGCCUUCGGGUUGUAAACCUCUUUUAGUAGGGAAGAAGCGACUGAGUUUACUCUGAGUGACGGUACCUGCASAAAAAGCACCGGCUAACUACSUGCCAGCAGCCGCGGUAAUACGUAGGGUGCAAGCGUUGUCCGGAAUUAUUGGGCGUAAAGAGCUCGUAGGCGGUUUGUCRCGUCUGCUGUGAAAUCCCGAGGCUCAACCUCGGGCUUGCAGWGGGUACGGSCAGACUAGAGUGCGGUAGGGGAGAUUGGAAUUCCUGGUGUASCGRUGGAAUGCGCAGAUAUCAKGAGGAACRCCGAUGGCGAAGGCAGAUCUCUGGGCCGUAACUGACGCUGAGGAGCGAAAGCAUGRGGAGCGAACAGGAUUAGAUACC
rnacentral:rRNA from 1 species